rnacentral:rRNA from 1 species
CCUACGGGAGGCAGCAGUGAGGAAUAUUGGUCAAUGGACGAGAGUCUGAACCAGCCAAGUAGCGUGAAGGAUGACUGCCCUAUGGGUUGUAAACUUCUUUUAUAUGGGAAUAAACUGUUCCACGUGUGGGCUUUUGUAUGUACCAUAUGAAUAAGGAUCGGCUAACUCCGUGCCAGCAGCCGCGGUAAUACGGAGGAUCCGAGCGUUAUCCGGAUUUAUUGGGUUUAAAGGGAGCGUAGGUGGAUUGUUAAGUCAGUUGUGAAAGUUUGCGGCUCAACCGUAAAAUUGCAGUUGAAACUGGCAGUCUUGAGUACAGUAGAGGUGGGCGGAAUGCGUGGUGUAGCGGUGAAAUGCUUAGAUAUCACGAAGAACUCCGAUUGCGAAGGCAGCUCACUGGACUGCAACUGACACUGAGGCUCGAAAGUGUGGGUAUCAAACAGGAUUAGAUACCCUUGUAGUC